GCUUUCCUAUGGACGCUGGCGUGCUCUCACUGUGAAAAUCACAGUGAGAAGCACGCAAGCGCCUCUAGCAGCUGUCAAUGAGAAAGCCGCUAGAGGGAAUGGGGGAAAGCUUAACCCAUUCAUAAACAUAGCAGUUUCUCUGAAACUGCUAUGUUUAUAAAAAAAAUGGGUUAACCCUAGCUGGACCUGGCACCCAGACCACUUCAUUAAGCUGAAGUGGUCUGGGUGCCUAGAGUGGUCCUUUAA